rnacentral:rRNA from 1 species
UACGUAGGGAGCAAGCGUUGUCCGGAAUCAUUGGGCGUAAAGCGCGUGUAGGCGGUCCGGUAAGUCGGUUGUGAAAGUCCAGGGCUCAACCCUGGGAUGCCGACCGAUACUGUCGGACUAGAGUUCGGAAGAGGCGAGUGGAAUUCCCGGUGUAGCGGUGAAAUGCGCAGAUAUCGGGAGGAACACCAAUGGCGAAGGCAGCUCGCUGGGACGUUACUGACGCUGAGACGCGAAAGCGUGGGGAGCGAACAGG